GGGGAGAGAAAGACACUGGAGGGUAGGGAUAGGGUCCAUAAUGACCUACACAAAUUGGACGAUUGGGCCAAAAAAAAAUCUGAUGAGGUUCAACAAGAACAAGUGCAGAGUCCUGCACUUAGGACGGA